AUGGCGCCUCCGCUCCGCCUCGCCGCGCUCCUCGUCGUCGUUGUCGCCGUCUUCGCCUCCGCCGCGCGCGCCGAUCUCGUCAUCUCCAGGGCGGAUCGGAAGGUUGAUUUGACUUCGCACAUCGUCCGCGUCCUCACUUCGCUCAAGGUUGAAAAUGCUGGCUCGGAGCCUGUCUCCAAAGUCUUACUGGCUUUUCCCAACAUCCAAGCAAAAAACCUGGCAGCGAUCAGAGCAUUCGGUACCGAGGGAAAAGUGAAGGGUCUCAGUAGUAUUCUUCCGAUUGAAAUUGUUGAGCCUUCUGGUGUUCCCCCAGAACUAACCUUCUUUUCAGCAUCGUUACACAAACCUUUGACAAAGGGGAAGAUUCUUCACUUAGAUGUCUUGACUGUAUUUACACACUUUCUCCAGCCGUUCCCAGAAGAGAUCACCCAAGCCGAUUCGCAGCUUGUUGUCUUUCAGGAUAGUUCUCACUAUCUGUCCCCUUACCCUGUUAAAGUCCAGACGCUUAGUAUCAGAUUGCCUGGUGGAAGGGUUGAAUCAUACACAAAAUAUGGAAACACAAAACUUGUGGAUUCCGAGCUUAAAUAUGGACCGUAUGAAGAUGUUCCCCCGUUUUCCUACAACCCUAUUAUUGUGCACUUUGAGAACAACAACCCAUUUGCAGUUGCAAAGGAGCUUAUAAGGGAGAUUGAGAUAUCUCACUGGGGCAAUGUACAGAUUACAGAACAUUACAACAUUGUUCAUGGUGGUGCCAGACUGAAGGGUGAAUUCUCCAGGCUUGACUACCAGUCUAGACCUUAUGCAAGAGGGGUUUCAUCAUUUAGGCAUCUCAUUGCUAGAUUGCCUGCAAGGGCCCACUCUAUUUAUUACAGAGAUGAAAUCGGUAAUAUUUCAACAUCACACUUAUGGAGUGAUUCGAAGAAGACCCAACUGGAAAUUGAACCGAGGUUUCCCUUGUUUGGUGGUUGGCAAACAACCUUUACUAUUGGUUAUGGUUUACCUCUUCAAGACUUUGUUUUCAGUGCUGAUGGAAAGAGAUUUCUCAAUAUCACAUUUGGUUCUCCAAUGGAGGAGAUUCUCAUAGAAAAGCUCAUCGUAAAGGUGGUUCUACCUGAAGGUUCAAAGGAUAUUGAUGUUUCAGCUCCAUUUCCAACAAAUCAAUGGCAAGAGGUGAAGUAUUCACACCUUGACAUUGCUGGAAGGCCAGUUCUUGUCUUGGAAAAGCCUGAUGUUAUUCCAGAGCAUAAUUUGCAUUUCCAGGUGUACUACAAAUUCAAUAACAUCUCGUUGCUCAUAGAGCCGAUGAUGUUGAUUACUGGCUUCUUCCUCCUGUUUGUUGCAUGUAUUGCCUACAUGCACACUGACAUGUCAAUCUCUAAGAACUCUCCUUCUUAUCUGGCAAAGCUGCAAUGGGAUGAGGUGCAAGCCACUGUUCAGCAAAUCCAGGGCAUCUUUCACCAGUGCUUAGCUGUUCAUGAUAAGCUAGAGACAUCAUUGCACGAUUUGUCUAGGUCUGGAGACGCUAAAUCUUGCAAAGCAGCUCGUAAAGCCGCUGAUGCACAGUUUAAGGAAUUAGCGAAAGAGCUGAAGCCGCUGUUGUUAUCUGUACAGUCAUCCCCUCAGUCUUAUCAGAUAUGGCCAAAGCUAGAGGACUUGGUUGCGAAGGAGAGGGAGAUGCAGGAGAAGCUCAUGGCGAGGCAUGCCACCGUGGUUGACAGCGUCGAGAAGAAGCAGCGCGGGCAAGACAUAGAAAACCGGAUUUCCUCCCAGCAGCAGAAGAUCGCUGCGCUGAGGCAAGAGGUCGAAUCUCUUCUAGAGUACCUUAGCGAGAUAUGA
rnacentral:rRNA from 1 species